rnacentral:rRNA from 1 species
AUUGAACGCUGGCGGCGUGGCUAAAGCAUGCAAGUCGAGCGAACCCGCAAGGGUGAGCGGCGGACGGGUUAGUAAUACGAUCGAACGUGCCCUGAGGCGGGGGAUAGGCGUGGGAAACUGCGCGUAAUACCCCAUGAUCUCUCCGGAGCAAAGGUUUACCACCUUGGGAUCGGCGAUCGUCCUAUCAGCUAGUUGGCGGGGUAAAGGCCCACCAAGGCUAUGACGGGUAGCAGGNGUGAGAGCACGACCUGCAACAUCGGGACUGAGACACUGCCCGGACUCCUACGGGAGGCUGCAGCGACGAAUCUUCCGCAAUGGGCGCAAGCCUGACGGAGCGACGCCGCGUGUGGGAUGAAGCGCCUUCGGCGUGUAAACCACUGUCAGGGAAC